CGUGGAUCAUGCCGAACAAUCCUGUGGACAUUUUACCCACAGGCCACAACCCGUCUUCCUAAAACCCUAAUGAAAUCCCCUGAACCCUUCUCAUACAACAGGAAGAAACGCUUCCUUUGUUCCCCUUUGCCUGUAAAAAAUGGCACGCCUAAUCCGUCCUCUAAGAAUAACCCUUCUCUCCCAUUCUAAAACCCUAAUUCCCCAACUUCAACAAUUCCACCAAAAUCCCGUUUUACUCCAUGACAAAUUGGGAUUGAACCAAACGACUAUAAUCAGAAAUUACACAUCAGAAAUGCGC
rnacentral:misc_RNA from 1 species